AACCUAGCACACCUGCGGUGUGUACCUGCGGAGGGAUCAUUACUGGAACAUUCAAGGUUUUUUGAAGCUGGCCUUUAGGGGCAUGUGCUCGCCUUGUUUCAAUCCACUUACACCUGUGCACAAUUUGUAGUUCUGGGAUGGGUUUCCAAUCCUGAUCAGAUCUACGUCCUUUACACACACACUUUGUAUGUUAAGAAUGUACUAUAUGCGUUAUAACGCAACAAUAACAACUUUUAACAA
rnacentral:misc_RNA from 1 species